CGGAAAACGAACGCUCCUUGUGGAUCAUCUGGAUGAAACACCAGGUGCCUGGACAGUACUGCACGAACUUCCCAAAACCAGCAAAGGGGAGCGCACAGAAAGCCAAGCAGAAGGCGGCCACGACCGGUGCCACCAGCACUCCCCGGCGCAAGGUGACGUGCCUUUGGUAGAAGAAGGGGUGUCCCAGAGACAGCCAGCACUCCACCGCCAUAGCCAACAGCUGUAAGGUCGAGGCUAGCCCAAAGAAGGACAUCAGGAAGGCGAACGUUUCGCAUAACUGAUUGCCUGAGGCAGGAAGCAGUCCCUUUAGGCUCUGGUUUUGCGCGUAGGCUGCCAGGACCAUCGGGCUGAUCAGACACUUGCCCAGCAAGUCGGUGACCGUCAAGCCACACACUAGCACAUAAAAGACCGAGGGCGGCGGGUGUAGUGUCCCUGGCCGGCAAGACCCCAGUCCCGAGCGCGCCAGCAGCACCAGCGCCAGAAGAUUGCCCAGAAGCCCUGCACCGAAGAGCACAGCGCCCAUCGUCGCCGAGGAGCCCCUUUCCACCCAGGUGGAUGUCUGACAGCGAUAGGACUCGUUCAUAGCCCUUGUCCCGUCUGACUGAAAGAAAGGCUGCAGCCAGGCCCGCUGUGAAGGAGCCCCAGGCUGCUCAGGGCGCAGCUAAGGCACAGAGGUUGUACAGCAGAGAGAGCUCCUCUGGUGGCUGGGUGUUAUUCACAGUCAGCCCUCCUAUCUAGGCUCCUCAGUCACACCCUUGAGGAAGGCAGGACUCCACCCCUGUCUGCCUACAGACACCUGAGCAGACACAGGUGAGACCUGAGACCUCAAAAGCAAACAUUCACAGAAAGUAUAUGAUGGGUCAAACCUGGACUCUGGAGGAGAGACAGGAGCAUGUUGUUCUCUGAGAGGCUCCACCCAGCAGCUGACUCAGAUACAGACACCCACAGCCAAACAGUGGAUGGAGCUUGUGGACUCUUAAGAAUAGGAGGAAGAAUUUCAGGGCCCAAAGGGGAUAGGAACUCCACAAGAAGUCUAACAGAGUCAACUCAACUGGACCCUUGGGUCUCUCAGAGUCUGAGCCAUCAACCAAAGAACACACACAGGCUGCACCUAGGCCUCCCAGAUGUGUAGCAGAUGUGCAGCUUGGUCUUCAUGUGAGUCCUAAAAAAUCUGGAGUAUUAGCUAUCCCAAAAGUUGUUGCUAGUAAGUGAGAUAUGUUCUACUAGCUAAGCUGCCUUGUCUGGCCUCAAAGAGACUUGCAGUGCCAGGGUAGGGGGCAUACACAGGCUCUCCCUCCACUCUGAGAAGGGGAGGGGGAGGGAUUAUGGGAGGAGUUAACUGAAAGGAGGAGCAGUGAACAGGGUGUAAAUGAGUAAGUAAAAAACAGUAAAAUUGAAUAAAAGAUUCCAGUGUAGCUUUCAUCAAUACUCAGCUGGAUCUCCUCAGAAUCUAUGAAGCUGAGAGUCAACCUCUGUGCAGGAUGAAAGUCACCACACAGCCUCUGGAUAAUUUUCAGUUGGCAUAUUGUAUACACUUUUUUAGCUGAUUUCACAUUAUCUAACAACACUCCACAUAGCCCUUGAACAUCAUAAUAUCUAGUUUGCCAGCUAAAUGAUAUAUAGUUCCUAUUGGCCACAGGCUUAUCAUUAUGUGUGAGUUUCUAGAUCAUUCUUUGAGGCCCUAAUGGAUAGUGCCUGAAAACCUAUCACCUACUUCUGGCAUAAUAUUCACAGGGUUUCAUGCAAAGCCUUUGAUCUGUGAUAAAGAAUAAAGUCCAUAGCAGG
ensembl:processed_transcript